rnacentral:rRNA from 1 species
CAGCAGCCACGGUAAUACGUAGGUGGCAAGCGUUGUCCGGAAUUAUUGGGCGUAAAGGGCUCGCAGGCGGUUUCUUAAGUCUGAUGUGAAAGCCCCCGGCUCAACCGGGGAGGGUCAUUGGAAACUGGGAAACUUGAGUGCAGAAGAGGAGAGUGGAAUUCCACGUGUAGCGGUGAAAUGCGUAGAGAUGUGGAGGAACGCCAGUGGCGAAGGCGACUCUCUGGUCUGUAACUGACGCUGAGGAGCGAAAGCGUGGGGAGCGAACAGGAUUAGAUACCCCCGUAGUCCCUGUCUCUUAUAC